GUCCCUGUAGCGAAAUGGUUAGCGUAUUGGACUUCUAAUCCAAAGGUCAUGAAUUCGAAUUCCACCUGGGAUG
rnacentral:tRNA from 1 species